rnacentral:rRNA from 1 species
AUGAACCCGGAGAUGAUGCGGUUGGCGGAGGAGCAGAUGCGGCGCAUGUCCCCGGACGACCUGGCCAGGAUGCAGCGGCAGCUCGCGUCCAACCCCGACCUGGUAAAGCUGGCAUCCGAGAGCAUGAGAAACAUGACUCCUCAGGACCUCAAACUUGCCGCUCAGCAGCUGAACCAAACUAGCCCAGAGGAGAUGCUUUCCAUCGCCGAAAAGCUCACCAUGGCUAAGCCCGAGGAGUUCGCCGCCAUGAAGGCUCAAGCUGACGCUCAGAUCUCACACGCCAUAUCUGGUGCCAAGGCCCUGAAGCAGCAGGGGAACGAGCUUCACGGCCGUGGGCGGUACGCCGAGGCUGCUACCAAGUACGACCUCGCCAAGGAUAGCUUGAAGAACGUGCCGUCGGCAGCCGCGCACGCAUUAAGGGUGCAGUGCAGCCUUAAUCUGAUGUCCUGUUACCUGAAAUCGGGCAAGUUUCAGGAGUGCGUAAACGAAGGGUCAGAGGUUCUUCUAGGUUGUGAUGAUUCGAGCAAUGUCGUCGUCAAGGCGUACUACCGAAGGGGUAGGCGUACAGAGGACUGGGGAACCUUCAAGCUGCCGUCGCUGACUUGA